UCCUUGGAGGACUAGUGAAUAGGCCUUGGCGCUCUCACCACCACGGCUCAGGUUCGAAUCCAGGCCAGGGAA
rnacentral:tRNA from 1 species